GUUCAGUUAUUUUAUAUGGUCGGUUAUGUGAUGUGUUUGUGUCACCAUAAAAAGCUGAUAUUCAGUCGUGUUUUUUGAUAUUUUUGUUAUUUUGUAAUCGAGUACCUUUUUAAAGGUCUAAUGGCUCCGUUCAGCUGUUGUGUGCAGACGGUGGAAAAAUUCAACAAGUAAACAUUUAUUUAAUCCAAAUUAAAUACUCAUAUUUCUAUGUAAAAUGUCACAUUAUUGUAUAAAUAAAUAAGUAAGAAACAAAA